ensembl:snoRNA SNORA62 Small nucleolar RNA SNORA62/SNORA6 family
CUUGCACACUGUUAAAGCUUGAUGCUGAGGUCAGUUCCUGACCAGUGAGCUCUCAAGUGUCGGAAGUGUGCUACAACAAAGCAGUUGGCAGAGUGCUUGCUAAUGCCAGGAGAGGAGCUGCCUCUAUGAUUGGUGUUUGAUAGCAGCCCUGCCACAUGC